AUUAUGCACGCCCGUCGGCGCCCGCCGAGAAUUGAAUAAUCAAUCGGCCGGCCGGCGAGCAGAGCAGCGGACCGCACGCGCGACCUGACGUCAGGGUGUCCCGCGCGACCAAGCGAUUGACUUGAUUGUGAGCUGGGUCAACGUCGCAGAUGACAGCGGUCAUCUAUAAGGAAAGGUCAGGUGAGAAAUAAAUCUUAGAUAGGAGUGUUAAUUUAUUUAUGUACUAAAUUUUUUAGCUAAGCAUUGCAUUUUACUCUAAAACAAACACAUAAAAUUCACACAGUCACGCAAAUAUGCAGAUGAUGUAUUAUAAGUCGUAAAACAAAUAUUGCAGAACCAGCUUUUUCACUUAGGAAAAUAAAUAAAUUUGAUCGUCCUCGUUGAACCUUUAAUUAAAUGUGAGAUGUGAGCGCGUUGAAAAGUCUCCCAUUUUAUUACGCACUUACUAAAAUACAAGGAUACUCUUUGGCCAAAUGAUUUUAAAGUGUUUGUCAACGUUAUUAUUUUUUUUAGAGAUUUUGCAAUGACUUCGGUCUGAUUAAUUUGUUUUCUGCUAACAUUUUACCCAUUCCUUAUUUGGAUAUAAUUAUUUUGACUAUGUACCCAAUAAUACACACUUUGACUUGGACUAGAAUAAAAAACGCGUUGAUGAAAUCGAUACGUGAACAGCAAAAAAUCUAAAGGCCGAACUGAUUUGUGAAAAUGUAAAAUCGACUUAUUUUUGGCGUAAUAAUCUUUAUCAAGCGCUCGAACUAAGAAAUAAUGUCGUAAAAAAAUUAGGACUCUUUUAUCUCUUUUCAUAUUGCUUAUGACCGACCUAAUUUAAUUAAAGCUUCCACUGUUAUAAUAUUUACGAAUUAAUCAAUAACUAAAAAAAACACGUUAAACUAGAACAUUAAUUUACAUCAAAAGUGCUCAGUCACAAUUUACUCGUCGCAGACACUGAAAACAAGGACAGCAGCUUAUUUUUGCAGCUAAAUACGCCUUGCACAGCGGCGGAUACCGAGCAGAAUAGUCGUUCAAUGCAGUGCUGAGCCAUUCCAGCGCUUGCCGAUGAUAAAAGCGAGCAAGCGUUGAAGCGUAUUUUCUUCAUUCAUUUCCAGGCCAGAUCAGAUAAAUAACUGGAAAAAUGUAACUGGAAAAUGAUAAUGUAAAAAAAAUCAAUCCCUUGAGCGAUAAUUUUAAACAAAACAUUUACCGUGGAGACAUCUUCCAAUGAAUUUUGUGACAAAAAACUUAUUGUUUCCUAAUUUUAAACGUUAUAUUAUAGUACUCUGAAUUAGCAAAAUAUAAUUUUUUUAAGUUUGCAGAUCAGAAUGAUGUCUUUUGGGAGGGGGUAUUGACGUGAGAAAAACACCAGUUAAUUAUUAUAUUCAUUUCAUGUUUAUUAAUCUUGUCGGUUUUCAUCAAUUCCUUACAGCAAAAUUUGAGGAAACAUGUCACAGUAAAAAUCUUUCUCCUUCAACAAAUGACAUUCACACAAUGUUGAAGUUUUACUUUAAAAACCAUUUAUUUUCGUUAACACGACGAAACAAACAGCAUUAUUUAGACAUAGUAAGUGACACUUAUUGCCUCGGAAACUUGCAACGUACGAGAAGGGAAAAUGUUGUAUGCGUUUGUGUGUGUAUGUGUGAAUGCGCGAAAUAUCUGCCAAAGUUUCGUUCGGUUUUGAGCAAAAUUGAGAAUCAGCGUAAACGGAAAGCCUUCUCCGUGUAUAAAUAGUUUUAUUUUUAGUCUGCUUGUAAAUAUAGUGUUCCUCUGCCGCGCUAGUAGUAUUUUCUGCACUAUUGUUUCACUUGUGUAAAGGCACCGCUUUUUACGUGUUCCAAAUUACAAAUAUCAUCUAAUUUGGAGGCAGAUCCAAUUCGUUUCAAUUGCGUCACAACUCUGGAGCGUGUAUGUGUAAAGUUUAAUCGGCCGGCUCUUUGAUGUUUUUGUUCAUCAGUUAUAUUAGUUUCUUCUUACAAUAAAUAAAAUUGUUAUAUGGCAAGUGAGAGACGAUAAAAAUGAUGGGAGUGUAUUAUAGACAAACGACGAUGUAACGCGGGGGUGAAAGGGGGGGAGUGAGGGAAUCGGGAAAUCCUAUUUUUAACUAUUUACAAAUGAUGGCUUGCAAUCUGACGAGAACUUGAAGAAACGAUUGAAAUAAGCGUAGCUAAUGCACACACGAGUUGCAAGCCGACUUAAGAUGAAAAAAACCUUACGCCUACAUAGUAGGAACUAAAAAUGCUCCGCGUCAGGCACGAGGUACUUCGAAUGGUCCUCGUUGAAGCCGACGCGCGCACAAUGCGAGCAGUCAGGGAAAUAAAUAAGAGCUGCGUGAAACAGGUACACAUUCAAAUAGACAUGUGUGUUGGUUGGCAAGAUGUGUGGUUGGUUGGUGGUUCCCGAUUUCUGGUUUCAGUUCAGUUCGCGAGCCGCGUCACCCGAAAGGCACCCGAAUGAGCAACGUAAAUUCGCUGGCUGGCACACGUACACAGACGAACGAACGAUCAAACACUCGUCGUCGCGGCCGACUUCGGGUUCAGACUGCUCGUUUUCGUCGCAACUUAUUCGAGUGCGCCUAAGUACUUUGAUUUUGGGGGCUGGAAAGUAAGCAAGCGAACGAUCGAAUGGCGACAACACAAUAUUAAUUCUAUUUAUUUUUAAACGAGGAACGUGUUACGAUUCAAAACUCAUUAUUUUUGUGUUUAGUUAGCGUUUAGUUUCGCACAAAGAACAAUAAAAUUUCUUUUUUCUAAGGAUUUUAAUGUGUGAAAUGAAUUUACCAAUAGUUUUGCUUUUGACAUGCUGUAUAUUAUAAUAUAUAAAAUUUAUUUGAGUUUAUCGAGUUUAUUCAGUGCAUUACAAAGCAAAACUGCUUUUACUUUUAAAAUUUUAGGAAUUUCGCACGUUUUUUAUCCAACAUUCAAAGGUUUUGAUAAAAAUAUAUCUAAACCUAUGAAAAACGUUUGAUAGGAAUCUGCGAAAUGAAUAAAAUGUUUCAUUUAGACUAAUUAAGUUUCCUAAUAAAAUAUCGGUAUUGAAAUACCAUAAAAUAUAAGGGGAAACUAGAAUUCUUUCAAUUUCUUCAUUGGGCUUUCAAAAUUGAAAAGUCAGCACAUAUGAGCAUUUUUUAAAAGGAAUUUUGUAUUCUUGUUAAGAAAAUAAAAAUCAAGACAUUAUUCUCGUUGGUUAAAGAGUUUUUAAUAACUCACAUUUUUGAGUUCUCUCUUUCUCUGCGAAAAAAUAGGGAAUCUUCAGUUGAAUCAUUAUUUAGUAAUUUCCAUGAUCUAAAUCCAAUAGGGACUUUUAUUUUUCAUUUACUAGCAUGGUCUCAAAUCUUUGUAAACAUUGCUGAGAAUGUGUCGCAACUAAAUCGCAGAAUCCUAACACGUUCCUCGUCAGAUGGGUCCAGAGUGGAGCAAAAAUAUAAAAAUUAUGUCAGUCUUUUCUUAAAACGUUAAAAGCUAUGGAGAAAAAUCGAGCACUCCGAACCAAAAGAAUGCGUCGGCACAAUUAAAUUCUAAGAGAAAAAAAAGUCAUGAUGUCCUGAGUUAUGCAUCGCACUAGCGCAAUGUCCUCUCUCUCUCUCCUCUCUCAACACUGCUUUAUCUUAGGAGUUUCGUCCUCGUGCUGAGGCGGCUUGAAGCUCAGGUUCACGUCGCCCAGCGCCACGUAACCUGAGCUGUUGGCACUUUUCGGCGGCGCCGGUGGCCCCGGGUCGCCCACUUUGGCGUAGCCGUUCAGCGCCGCCUGGGGCAUGGUUGGCGAGGCCGGCGCAGACGACGUCGAUGACGAGCAGGAACUUGGUGUUUCAUCCGCAGUCGAGGUCGAGCCCUUGCGAAGCAUGAAACCGUUAGGUGGCGCCGCCGAGUACCCAUUGGAAUCCUGCCUAGACAGCAUCAGGUCGACCUGAAACACGCGGCACCAG